CCUACGGGGGGCAGCAGUGAGGAAUAUUGGUCAAUGGACGAGAGUCUGAACCAGCCAAGUAGCGUGAAGGAUGACUGCCCUAUGGGUUGUAAACUUCUUUUAUAUGGGAAUAAAAUGUUCCACGUGUGGGAUUUUGUAUGUACCAUAUGAAUAAGGAUCGGCUAACUCCGUGCCAGCAGCCGCGGUAAUACGGAGGAUCCGAGCGUUAUCCGGAUUUAUUGGGUUUAAAGGGAGCGUAGGUGGAUUGUUAAGUCUGGUGUUAAAUGCAGAAGCUCAACUUCUGUUCGGCACUGGAUACUGGCAAACUAGAAUGCGUUAGAGGUGAAGGGAAUUCCUGGUGUAGCGGUGAAAUGCUUAGAUAUCAGGAGGAACAUCGGUGGCGUAAGCGCUUUACUGGGCCGUAAUUGACGCUGAGGAACGAAAGCCAGGGUAGCAAAUGGGAUUAGAUACCCUUGUAGUC
rnacentral:rRNA from 1 species